rnacentral:rRNA from 1 species
UGCAGUCGAACGCGGUUAUCCCGCAAGGGGUAACUGAGUGGCAAACGGGUGAGUAACACGUGGGUGACCUACCUCUGAGUGGGGGAUAACGUUUCGAAAGGAACGCUAAUACCGCAUGACAUCCUGCCUUUGGACAGGCGGAGAUCAAAGCCGGGGAUCGCAAGACCUGGCGCUUGGAGAGGGGCCCGCGUCCGAUUAGCUAGUUGGUGGGGUAACGGCUCACCAAGGCGACGAUCGGUAUCCGGCCUGAGAGGGCGGACGGACACACUGGGACUGAGACACGGCCCAGACUCCUACGGGAGGCAGCAGUGGGGAAUUGUUCGCAAUGGGCGCAAGCCUGACGACGCAACGCCGCGUGGAGGAUGAAGGUCUUCGGAUUGUAAACUCCUGUUGAUCGGGACGAACAACCAUCGGGAUAACACCCCGGAGGUCUGACGGUACCGAUUGAGGAAGCCCCGGCUAACUCUGUGCCAGCAGCCGCGGUAAUACAGAGGGGGCAAGCGUUGUUCGGAAUUACUGGGCGUAAAGGGCGCGUAGGCGGCCGCCUAAGUCAGACGUGAAAUCCCUCGGCUCAACCGGGGAACUGCGUCUGAUACUGGGUGGCUUGAAUCCGG